rnacentral:rRNA from 1 species
UUCCGUAGGUGAACCUGCGGAAGGAUCAUUAAAGUUUGCUUAAUUGCAUCACACAUGUUUUUUUAGAGAACUUGCUUGCAAGAACACUAAUAAUUUACUUAGUCAAACACAUAAUAUCAAAACUUUCAACAACGGAUCUCUUGGUUCUCGCAUCGAUGAAGAACGCAGCGAAAUGCGAUACGUAAUAUGAAUUGCAGAUUUUCGUGAAUCAUCGAAUCUUUGAACGCACAUUGCGCCCUGUGGUAUUCCACAGGGCAUGCCUGUUUGAGCGUCAUUUCUCCCUCAAACCUCUGGUUUGGCGUUGAGUGAUACUCGGUUUACUUGAAAACAUGAAAAGCAUAACUAUUAGGUUUUACCAACUCGUUAUACUAAUCUACAAGUUUGACCUCAAAUCAGGUAGGACUACCCGCUGAACUUAAGCAUAUCAAUAAGCGGAGGAAAGGAU